UAGGGAAUCUUCGGCAAUGGGGGGAACCCUGACCGAGCAACGCCGCGUGAGUGAAGAAGGUUUUCGGAUCGUAAAGCUCUGUUGUAAGAGAAGAACGGGUGUGAGAGUGGAAAGUUCACACUGUGACGGUAUCCUACCAGAAAGGGACGGCUAACUACGUGCCAGCAGCCGCGGUAAUACGUAGGUCCCGAGCGUUGUCCGGAUUUAUUGGGCGUAAAGCGAGCGCAGGCGGUUAGAUAAGUCUGAAGUUAAAGGCUGUGGCUUAACCAUAGUAUGCUUUGGAAACUGUUUAACUUGAGUGCAGAAGGGGAGAGUGGAAUUCCAUGUGUAGCGGUGAAAUGCGUAGAUAUAUGGAGGAACACCGGUGGCGAAAGCGGCUCUCUGGUCUGUAACUGACGCUGAGGCUCGAAAGCGUGGGGAGCAAACAGGAUUAGAUACCCUGGUAGUCCACGCCGUAAACGAUGAGUGCUAGGUGUUAGGCCCUUUCCGGGGCUUAGUGCCGCAGCUAACGCAUUAAGCACUCCGCCUGGGGAGUACGACCGCAAGGUUG
rnacentral:rRNA from 1 species